rnacentral:rRNA from 1 species
AGCAGCCGCGGUAAUUCCAGCUCCAAUAGCGUAUAUUAAAGUUGUUGCAGUUAAAAGCUGUAGUUGAAUUUUAGGCCUGGCCGGGCGGUCCGUCUUUGGCGAGUACUGUCUUGUUGUCGGUCUUCCUUCUGGUGAACCAGUAUGCCCUUUAUUGGGUGUGUUGGGGAGCCAGGACCAUACCUUGAAAAAAUUAGAGUGUUUAAAGCGGGCUAUUGCUUGAAU